GACGAACGCUGGCGGCGUGCUUAACACAUGCAAGUCGAACGGAAAGGCCCUGCUUGCCGGGUACUCGAGUGGCGAACGGGUGAGUAACACGUGGGUGAUCUGCCCUGCACUUCGGGAUAAGCCUGGGAAACUGGGUCUAAUACCGGAUAGGAGCCAUUUUUAGUGUGAUGGUUGGAAAGUUUUUUCGGUGUAGGAUGAGCUCGCGGCCUAUCAGCUUGUUGGUGGGGUAAUGGCCUACCAAGGCGGCGACGGGUAGCCGGCCUGAGAGGGUGGACGGCCACAUUGGGACUGAGAUACGGCCCAGACUCCUACGGGAGGCAGCAGUGGGGAAUAUUGCACAAUGGGCGCAAGCCGGGUGCAGCGACGCCGCGUGGGGGAUGACGGCCUUCGGGUUGUAAACUCCUUUCGCUAGGGACGAAGCUUUUUGUGACGGUACCUAGAUAAGAAGCACCGGCUAACUACGUG
rnacentral:rRNA from 1 species